GACAGAGGUGCCGAGCGUUAGGCGGAAUCACUGGGCUUAAAGCGUGUGUAGGCGGCGGCGUAAGUACCUUGUGAAAUCCCACGGCUCAACCGUGGAACUGCUCGGUAUACUGCGUCGCUUGAGCCGUCUAGGGGCGACCGGAACGAAACGGUGGAGCGGUGAAAUGCGUAGAUAUCGUUUGGAACGCCGAUGGUGAAAACAGG
rnacentral:rRNA from 1 species